rnacentral:rRNA from 1 species
GGAGGGUGCAAGCGUUAAUCGGAAUUACUGGGCGUAAAGGGCGUGUAGGUGGUUUGAUAAGUUGGCUGUGAAAGCCCCGGGCUUAACCUGGGAGGGUCAGCCAAAACUAUAAGACUAGAGUACGGUAGAGGGUAGUGGAAUUUCCGGUGUAGCGGUGAAAUGCGUAGAUAUCGGAAGGAACACCAGUGGCGAAGGCGACUACCUGGACUGAUACUGACACUGAGGCGCGAAAGCGUGGGGAGCGAACAGGAUUAGAUACCCUGGGCAGUCCACGCCGUAAACGAUGAGAACUAGCCGUUGGGGACGUAAGUCUUUAGUGGCGCAGCUAACGCGAUAAGUUCUCCGCCUGGGGAGUACGGCCGCAAGGCUA